GUGAGGAAUUUUCCGCAAUGGGCGAAAGCCUGACGGAGCAAUGCCGCGUGAAGGAUGAAGGCCUAUGGGUUGUAAACUUCUUUUCUCAGAAAAGAAUUAUGACGGUAUCUGAGGAAUAAGCAUCGGCUAACUCUGUGCCAGCAGCCGCGGUAAGACAGAGGAUGCAAGCGUUAUCCGGAAUGAUUGGGCGUAAAGCGUCUGUAGGUUGUUUAAAAAGUAUUCUGUCAAAGAUUAGGGCUUAACCCUAGAUAGGCAGAAUAAACUUUUAAGCUAGAGUUUGGUAGAGGCAGAGGGAAUUCCCGGUGGAGCGGUGAAAUGCGUAGAUAUCGGGAGGAACACCAAAGGCGAAGGCACUCUGCUGGGCCAAUACUAACACUGAGAGACGAAAGCGAGGGGAGCAAAUGGGAUUAGAUACCCUGGUAGUCC
rnacentral:rRNA from 1 species